UACGGGGGGGGCAAGCGUUGUUCGGAAUUACUGGGCGUAAAGGGCUCGUAGGCGGCCAACUAAGUCGUACGUGAAAUCCCUCGGCUUAACCGGGGAACUGCGUCUGAUACUGGAUGGCUGGAGUUCGGGAGAGGGAUGCGGAAUUCCAGGUGUAGCGGUGAAAUGCGUAGAUAUCUGGAGGAACACCGGUGGCGAAGGCGGCAUCCUGGACCGAUACUGACGCUGAUGAGCGAAAGCCAGGGGAGCAAACGGG
rnacentral:rRNA from 1 species